UAGAUAUAAUCACAAGCUAUAUCCAAAUCUAUUACAAGAUAAACCUAAAAUUGAUUGAAUAUAUUGUUCAGAUCAAGGGCUAGGAAGAUCCUAAAAUCAUAAAAAAUGAUCUUCAUAUCCUAAAAGCCAAAAAAAAUAUCCAGCUGCAAAUCCUAAAAUCCCUAUCUUCACAUUGCAUAUGCUAUAUGCACUGGAAACUCUUCAGAUAUACUGAGGAGGGUUAUUAGUUCCCAAUUAACGAAUAUGGGAGGAGGGUACAGGGACUCCACUUUGCAGGUGUGAAAGAUGGAAUCUGAACGUGUUUACCUCGAUGAGUUGAAUGCUAACAGAAAGGGCUACACAGUGAAGGUUAAGGUCAUAGAAAAGGGCGAGCUAAGGUGUCUCCGAAUAAGGGAGUGUUGUAUCUGUCAAUGCUUCUGGAAGAUGAUAAGUUUCCUCAGGGUAACAAAAUGUGAGGCGCAUUGUUUGGAGAUCAAGCUGAUGGGUACGAGGAUGCAUUUGCAUAUAAGGGAGAGUAUGAGAUAGUUAAUGCACCAAUCAAGGCCAUAGAUGAAAGGUGGAAAAUGAGCCCAGAAGAACUCAACUAUCAAAUGAUCACCGGCCAACAGACUGUGAUCCAACCCGUGGAUGGUGAAGAGGGCAUGUGAUGCCAAACUACCACCAGUGCCUAGCCUCAAUUCCAAGAGAUUUUUAAGUAGAAGCCCCCCUGUCCUUUUGGAAGUAUGUUUAAUUUGGGUAUGUUCGACUUUUGUGAUGGUUUAAAACAGAUGUGAACAAGACAUUGUCAUGUUUGUCAAUCUCGAAUAUGUCUGGAUUGGCUAAAGACGAGUACAAAGCUUGUUUUUAACCGACUAAUCAAGGUUGCAGAUAAGCUUCAAGAGUAUAUUGUUUCUUAUAGCUGUAUUUAUUUUGUAGCUCAUUAGUGAAGUUGACAUUUCAUACAAAUUAGAGUUGUUUUAUGGCUAUGUUAGCUUGAUUUGAUUUGAUUGGCUUGGCCGACCACCCUA